rnacentral:rRNA from 1 species
GACGAACGCUGGCGGCGUGCUUAACACAUGCAAGUCGAACGGAAAGGCCUCUUUCGGGGGGUACUCGAGUGGCGAACGGGUGAGUAACACGUGAGUAACCUGCCCUUGACUUUGGGAUAACUUCAGGAAACGGGGGCUAAUACCGGAUAGGAGCUCCUGCUGCAUGGUGGGGGUUGGAAAGUUUCGGCGGUUGGGGAUGGACUCGCGGCUUAUCAGCUUGUGGGUGGGGUAGUGGCUUACCAAGGCUUUGACGGGUAGCCGGACUGUGAGGGGGAGCGGCCACAUUGGGUCUGGGUGUUGGCCCAGACUCCUACGGUUAGAAGUAGUGGGGAAUAUUGCCGCAAGCGUGCGACCCUGAUCCAGCAACGCCGUGUGCCGUAUUACGAGCUUGGGGUUGAAGACCGCAUUCGCUAGUGACGAAGCUUUGUGUGACGGUAGUGGGUAAAGAAGCACCGGCUAACUCCGUG